rnacentral:lncRNA from 1 species
AAGGUACAAAAAUGGUAAAGUAAAUAGUAAGAAGUUAUAAAAGAUUUAAAUAAAAUAGCAAGCACAAAAAUGAAAAUAUGAAGAUAUGUUAUUCCCAAGUAUGGAACUCAUCCCACUAAAGCAAGUGAAAUUGCUUCCUCUCCACUCGGCCACUUAUGUCCAUUUGUUACCUUAACAACAACUUAAAUAUAUAAAUAGGCAUAGAUAAAGAUAAAUUUAAAAUAAAAAAAAACUAGCUAAAACGAUAUGGGCCUGGGUCUGUGAAGAUUUGUCUCACCAUUAAUGGUCCAAACACAAAAAUAAGCAAAGGAGACUAACAGACCAAAACCCUAGUCGCCUGGCUGUUGGGUAUGGACUAUGAAGAUUCCCAACACUAGUAAUUGCUGUCAGUAAUUAAUAAAAGGUUAAUGCAAAAGAAAACCAACAGGUAGACUUAAAGAGGGCACAGUAAAAUAAAAGAUGACAUUAGAUGGAAUAAAGUUAUUCCCAAAACCAUUAAUCAUCACAGAGAAGUAAAGUAAACUUUUUAAACAAAAAAAAAUCAGAAGCUAUAACCAUGGACGAAAGAGGAAGCGGGAGAAACAGGGGAAUGAUCGUCCCUUUCCUUCGAUCAAAAGGUUUUUCUCUCUCAUAAACAAAACCGAUUCCCUUCUCCACUUACAGUUACAAAGAAACCUUCACAACACAAUUCAAACAUCGGCUAAGAGUAAGAUUCGAGAAUGGCACUAACCAGCUGCAACGAAGUCGGCCAACGAAUGAGCAGGUAAGAGUCUUGCUGAAUCUUCUUCACAAUGUUCCUUUCCUACGGGUUCGUCCGUUAUCAACCACCGGUCACUUUUGGUUAUUGAAAUUUUUAGGGUUUCUCCUCUCUCUUCAGUAGCCGUCAAUACUCUUCUCUAGGGUUUUUUCGUGGUCGUCCUCUGGUGGAGGAGGAGGCUCCUUUUAUACUCACCCUGUUUAGGGUUUUUGAGCUGGCUAUGGAGAUCAAAAGGGUAAUGCUUUUGGAAGUGCUUUAGGGUGCUCACAGUUUGUCUACAUUAUUCGGUGUUUGAUCUGGAACAGGUAAUACAAAUCCUAUACUUUCUUCUUUGAAUUUGUCCUAAUUCCUUUUUGGGUUAUUUGUUAACUUUUACCGCCGGUAAAUGGCUUUUUACCGCUGUGAAUUUUAUCGGAAUAUUCAUGUGUGGUUUGAUGCUUGCAGGAGAAAACGUUGAGCUUGCGAGCAUGGCUUUGAUUUUUUUUUUGUGUUGAUGCUGUGGUGUAUGGUCUUUGGAAAAAGAGUUGUGAGAUCCUGUUGAAACUAUAGCAACUUGGGGAGCGGACUGCUGUAUGUGGCCUCCAUUAGAAGAGGCAUUUGAACUAUUGUGUUUGAUUGAUUUCUGGCGAGUUGAUCCCAUAUUGUUUAAAUUUACAUGAUCUUCAACUUGUCACUGCGUCUGGGAAGAGGAAGAAGGCAUGCUUUCCAUACCCUGCGAUUGAGAAACAGAAGAUCCAUCUAACAAACCCUUUGAUGACUCCGAUUUCGUAAAAGCUCUAGCCGAAUCAGACAAUGUUGGCCAAGAGUGUGCAUCCAUAACCGGCCGUACCUCCGAAGCUGCACCAUUGGAGGAAGGCUUAAUCCAAGCAGGUCUUGUGCAUAUAUGUUCAUAGUUGAAAAAUGGUUUCCAAUUUGUCGAACAAAUUUUGAUGGCGGUUCACAAGGUGUCAUCUAUUUAGCUUUUGCUGCACCCAAAAUCCCCGUGCUACUGAAUAUAGAAGCCUUGCAAGAGUACUCAGUUGAAGGUGUGAGGUUUUCUAAUUUGAAUCUUUUCUCGGGCCUCAAAACAAUGAAAGUCGGUUGUUCGAG